UCUUAUGGAUGAUCAGAGAAGAUGGUUUCUUGAGGUGGAAUCUACUCCUGGUGAAAAUGCUGUGAA
rnacentral:pre_miRNA from 1 species